CUUUUAGAACACGAAGUGGUUGAUGCCAUGCUUCCAAGAAAAGCUUCUAAGCUUCAGGUAACCAGGAACCGUACCCCAAACCGACACAGGUGGUCAGGUAGAGAAUACCAAGGCGCUUGAGAGAACUCGGGUAAAGGAACUAGGCAAAAUGGUGCCGUAACUUCGGGAGAAGGCACGCUGGUGGUAAGUGAAAUCCCUGCGGGUGGAGCUGAAGCCAGUCGAAGAUACCAGGCCCCUGCGACUGUUUAUUAAAAACACAGCACUGUGCAAACACGAAAGUGGACGUAUACGGUGUGACGCCUGCCCGGUGCCGGAAGGUUAAUUGAUGGGGUUAGCGCUUGCGCGAAGCUCUUGAUCGAAGCCCCGGUAAACGGCGGCCGUAACAAUAACGGUCCUAAGGUAGCGAAAUUCCUUGUCGGGUA
rnacentral:rRNA from 1 species